UUACUUUCUGUGUGAUGGAAUAAUGAAAUAGAAGUCAAUACGUUCUUGCUCAAUCCUGUGUCGCUUUGAAAGUGUCAUGAUUGUCAUCCUCAGCAAAAGCAAUGUGUUACUGUAAUUUGAAUAUUAAAAUGACUGAGCGACGUUUUUUUCGAUACACUGGUCAACUCCACCAUAGCGAAUCACAGACACAUGACUUUGACAAUCAGUAGAUUCCAGCUAAAAAUAUCUUUAUAAUUAAAGAAUU
rnacentral:lncRNA from 1 species